UACGUAGGGUGCAAGCGUUAAUCGGAAUUACUGGGCGUAAAGCGUGCGCAGGCGGUUUUGUAAGUCUGACGUGAAAUCCCCCGGCUCAACCUGGGAAUUGCGUUGGAGACUGCAAGGCUGGAGUCUGGCAGAGGGGGGUAGAAUUCCACGUGUAGCAGUGAAAUGCGUAGAGAUGUGGAGGAACACCGAUGGCGAAGGCAGCCCCCUGGGUCAAGACUGACGCUCAUGCACGAAAGCGUGGGGAGCAAACAGG
rnacentral:rRNA from 1 species